rnacentral:rRNA from 1 species
AGCGAACGUUAGCGGCGGGCUCAACACAUGCAAGUCGAGCGAGAAAGUGGCUUCGGCCAUCAGUAAAGCGGCGGACGGGUGAGUAACACGUAGGUAAUCUUCCUUCGAGCGGGGGACAACGUUCCGAAAGGGACGCUAAUACCGCAUACGUUUCUCGGGACUCUGGUCCUGGGAAGGAAAGCUAGGUCGCAAGAUCCGGCACUCGAUGAGGAGCCUGCGUAGCAUCAGCUAGUGGUGGGGUAAUGGCCUACCAAGGCGAAGACGCUUAGCUGGUCUGAGAGGAUGAUCAGCCACACUGAAACUGAGACACGGUUCAGACUCCUACGGGAGGCAGCAGUGGGGAAUAUUGGACAAUGGGCGCAAGCCUGAUCCAGCCACGCCGCGUGAGUGAUGUAGGCCUUC